CACCUGCCCAGACUCUGCAUCAGUCUUCUGAAAGACUGUGGGCAGGGACUGAGAGAAGGGGUGGACUCCAGAGUGGUACCCAGAUGCACUAUCAGAGAGGACUGGGCGGCUAAGGUGGCUAAGGUGACAGGGCUUCCUGCGGGCCAGUCUAGUGCGGCGGACACUACCAGCUACAAACCCACUGAGUGAGCUGCACUGGCCAUCUCUCUGGCUGGAGAUGGUAGCAGAUACUUGCACACAGGAGUCUAGAGACCGAGAGGCAGCACUUGACUAGAAAUGCACAUCAGGGUAUCUCAGGCUAGGUGUCCAUCAUGGCUGCGAAGCUGGGUGACGGGACCGAGCAGUAUGUGGCGAGCUGGGAUGCAGGAGGGACCCCGGGACAGCAGUCCCAGGGUGACGGCAGUCCAUCGCUGGAGCACAGGUGAGGAGGUUCAGGAGGGACCCCGGGACAGCAGUCCCAGGAUGACGGCAGUCCAUCGCUGGAGCACAGGUGAGGAGAUGCAGGAGGGACCCCGGGACAGCAGUCCCAGGGUGACGGCAGUCCAUCGCUGGAGCACAGGUGAGGAGAUGCAGGAGGGACCCCGGGACAGCAGUCCCAGGGUGACGGCAGUCCAUCGCUGGAGCACAGGUGAGGAGGUCGGGAGUGGGGAAGUCUCUCUCAUAAGGCCAGAAGAGUGAGCCUGCAGCACAUACCCUAACCAUAUCCCCCUUCCUCAUCCCCCCUAACACCUGGUUGUAGAUACCCUGAUAGGCACAGCCCUGGGUACCACUCCCACCCCAGAAUGAAGCAGGCUCUCACUUGCCAGAAACCCACAGCUCGGAAAUUUCUAACUGAUAACCAGAUGCAUGAAACCCCUGCUGACACUGAACUGACAGGGCUAGCAGUGGAGGCAGGCAUUAUUCUUAUACAGGAGGAGAUGGAUGCUCCCAGAAGCAAGAACAAGCCCCGGUGGUGACACCAAGUGACGAUACUCGCACCGUGCUGCUGCUGGCAGGACCUGGCUACGAAGCAACUUCUGGUUGCACUCUAGCAUCUCCUUCCUCCACGGGAGCAGGUCCCAGCUUCACUGCAGCCACAGUGAGCCCUACUAGGAGAGACGUACCCUUGCCUAACUAAUGCCCAUCCUUGUUUCACAAGCCCCUGCACAUGGCCUCCAUACCUGCCCAGGGUCUGAGCUCAGUGGUUAAGAGCGCACACUGCUCUUGCAGAGGACCACGUCCAGUUCCUAGCACCCACACCAGUUGGCUCACAAUCACCUGUAACUCCAGCACUGAGAGAUCCAACACUAGACACCAUCUACUGGCUUCAGGCACUGGACAUACCGACACACAGACACAAGAGUAUACAU
rnacentral:lncRNA from 1 species